AGUGAACGCUGGCGGUAGGCCUAACACAUGCAAGUCGAACGGCAGCACAGUAAGAGCUUGCUCUUACGGGUGGCGAGUGGCGGACGGGUGAGGAAUACAUCGGAAUCUACUUUUUCGUGGGGGAUAACGUAGGGAAACUUACGCUAAUACCGCAUACGACCUACGGGUGAAAGCAGGGGAUCUUCGGACCUUGCGCGAUUGAAUGAGCCGAUGUCGGAUUAGCUAGUUGGCGGGGUAAAGGCCCACCAAGGCAACGAUCCGUAGCUGGUCUGAGAGGAUGAUCAGCCACACUGGAACUGAGACACGGUCCAGACUCCUACGGGAGGCAGCAGUGGGGAAUAUCGGACAAUGGGCGCAAGCCUGAUCCAGCCAUACCGCGUGGGUGAAGAAGGCCUUCGGGUUGUAAAGCCCUUUUGUUGGGAAAGAAAAGCAGCAGGUUAAUACCCCGCUGUUCUGACGGUACCCAAAGAAUAAGCACCGGCUAACUUCGUG
rnacentral:rRNA from 1 species